rnacentral:rRNA from 1 species
GACGAACGCUGGCGGCGUGCUUAACACAUGCAAGUCGAGCGGUAAGGCCCUUUCGGGGGUACACGAGCGGCGAACGGGUGAGUAACACGUGGGUGACCUGCCCUCAGCUCUGGGAUAAGCCUGGGAAACUGGGUCUAAUACUGGAUAUGACUCCACGGUGCAUGUCGUGGGGUGGAAAGCCUUGUGCGGCUGAGGAUGGGCCCGCGGCCUAUCAGCUUGUUGGUGGGGUGAGGCCUACCAAGGCGACGACGGGUAGCCGGCCUGAGAGGGCGACCGGCCACACUGGGACUGAGACACGGCCCAGACUCCUACGGGAGGCAGCAGUGGGGAAUCUUGCGCAAUGGGCGAAAGCCUGACGCAGCGACGCCGCGUGAGGGAUGACGGCCUU